UACGUAGGGCGCGAGCGUUAUCCGGAAUUAUUGGGCGUAAAGAGCUCGUAGGCGGUUUGCCACGUCUGCUGUGAAAGCCCGGGGCUCAACCCCGGGUGUGCAGUGGGUACGGGCAGACUAGAGUGCAGUAGGGGAGACUGGAAUUCCUGGUGUAGCGGUGAAAUGCGCAGAUAUCAGGAGGAACACCGAUGGCGAAGGCAGGUCUCUGGGCUGUUACUGACGCUGAGGAGCGAAAGCAUGGGGAGCGAACAGG
rnacentral:rRNA from 1 species